rnacentral:tRNA from 1 species
AUGACUGUGGCUCAAUUGGGUAAGUGUCAGAGUACCGAUCUCUAGGUGCGGGUUCAAAUCCCGUCGGCUGUC